rnacentral:tRNA from 1 species
GGCCGCCUGGCAUAAUGGCAAUGCGUCUGACUACGAUGCGCAUCUUCGAAAUCAGGAGAUUGCAGGUUCGAUCCCUGCGGUGGUCA